UCUUUGGUUUUCUAGCUGUAUGA
rnacentral:ncRNA from 4 species